CUUGCCACACCCCAGGCACAGUAGAUGGAAAUGGUUUGUGUACACCUGACAGUGCUGGACAGUGCCCAUGUAAGGUUAAUGUACAAGGUCGCGCCUGUGACACUUGCAAGGAUGGUUUCUACAAUCUUUCUAGCAGCAAUGGAGCAGGUUGUUCCUCUUGUGAGUGCAAUAUUGGUGGGUCAUUGAAUAAUGUCUGUGACAAAGUGACCGGGCAGUGUGUCUGCCACAGUGAUAAUAUCCUAGGAAGGCAGUGUGACAGCAUAAAACCUGGCUUCUACUAUCCAAGCCCUCACAGUAUUUUUACAGAGCUGGAAGACAGUCUAGGUGAAGUAGUUUACAACAGAAACCCUUCAAAUGCUGGCUUCUCUGGGCGAGGGUAUGCUGUGGCUGU